rnacentral:rRNA from 1 species
UUUUGGACAAUGGGGGCAACCCUGAUCCAGCAAUGCCGCGUGAGUGAAGAAGGCCUUCGGGUUGUAAAGCUCUUUUGUCAGGGAAGAAACAGCAGCUCUAACACCGUUGUGAAUGACGGUACCUGAAGAAUAAGCACCGGCUAACUACGUGCCAGCAGCCGCGGUAAUACGUAGGGUGCAAGCGUUAAUCGGAAUUACUGGGCGUAAAGCGUGCGCAGGCGGUUAUACAAGACAGGCGUGAAAUCCCCGGGCUCAACCUGGGAAUUGCGUCUGUGACUGUAUAGCUAGAGUGUGUCAGAGGGGGGUAGAAUUCCACGUGUAGCAGUGAAAUGCGUAGAUAUGUGGAGGAAUACCAAGGCGAAGGCAGCCCCCUGGGAUAACACUGACGCUCAUGCACGAA